ACUCCUACGGGAGGCAGCAGUGGGGAAUAUUGCACAAUGGGGAAACCCUGAUGCAGCCAUGCCGCGUGUGUGAAGAAGGCCUCGGUUGUAAAGCACUUCAGUAGGGAGGAAGGUAGUGUAGUUAACACCUGCAUUAUUUGACGUUACCUACAGAAGAAGCACCGGCUAACUCCGUGCCAGCAGCCGCGGUAAUACGGAGGGUGCGAGCGUUAAUCGGAAUUACUGGGCGUAAAGCGCAUGCAGGCGGCCUGUUAAGUCAGAUGUGAAAGCCCGGGGGCUUAACCUCGGAAUUGCAUUUGAAACUGGCAGGCUAGAGUCUUGUAGAGGGGGUAGAAUUUCAGGUGUAGCGGUGAAAUGCGUAGAGAUCUGAAGGAAUACCAGUGGCGAAGGCGGCCCCCUGGACAAAGACUGACGCUCAGAUGCGAAAGCGUGGGGAGC
rnacentral:rRNA from 1 species